rnacentral:rRNA from 1 species
CAGCAGCCGCGGGAAUACGUAGGGUGCAAGCGUUAAUCGGAAUUACUGGGCGUAAAGCGUGCGCAGGCGGUGUUGUAAGACUGAUGUGAAAUCCCCGGGCUCAACCUGGGAGCUGCAUUGGUGACUGCAACGCUGGAGUGCGGCAGAGGGGGAUGGAAUUCCGCGUGUAGCAGUGAAAUGCGUAGAUAUGCGGAGGAACACCGAUGGCGAAGGCAAUCCCCUGGGCCUGCACUGACGCUCAUGCACGAAAGCGUGGGGAGCAAACAGGAUUAGAUACCCGCGUAGUCCCUGUCUCUUAUAC